rnacentral:rRNA from 1 species
AAAACAUCGCCUCUUGACAAAACAUAAGAGGUCCAGCCUGCCCAGUGACAAAGUUCAACGGCCGCGGUACCCUAACCGUGCGAAGGUAGCAUAAUCACUUGUUCUUUAAAUGAGGACUCGUAUCAACGGCACUACGAGGGCUAUACUGUCUCCUUUUUCUAAUCAGUGAAACUGAUCUCCCCGUGAAGAAGCGGGGAUCAAAAUAUAAGACGAGAAGACCCCAUGGAGCUUUAAACUCACUAUACACCUCUGUGCCUUUAUGCCACUAGACACAAGAGAUCUGCGUACUAGUUUUAGGUUGGGGGGACCACGGAGUAUAAUUUAACCUCCAUAACAAAUGGGCUAACACCCUUAUCUACGAGACACAACUCUAAGAAUUACUAAACUAAUGCUUAUGACCCGAUAUUCGAUCAAUGAACCAAGUUACCCUGGGGAUAACAGCGCAAUCUACUUCAAGAGCCCAUAUCGACAAGUGGGUUUACGACCUCGAUGUUGGAUCAGGGUAUCCCGGUGGUGCAGCCGCUACCGACGGUUCGUUUGUUCAACGAUUAAAACCCUACGUGAUC